CACCACCCACUCCAUUUCAGAACGAACUUCGUACGGACCUGACUUGUGCCAUUUCAUGGACCAAUUGAUAUCGGAUUGAGUCCAAAACUUGGGGAACAUCAAAACAUGGUGGGAGGAGUCAUUUGGUGAGUUUUGAGUGAAAUCCAAAAUCUAAACCUAUUCAAUACAACAACCACCCCAUUUCAGAACGAACUUCGUACAAACCUGAAUUGUCCAAUUUCGUGGACCAAUCAACAUCGGAUUGACUCUAAUACUUGGAGAACAUCAUAAUAUGGUGCGAGGAGUCAUUUGGUGAGCUUAGAGUGAAAUCCAAU
rnacentral:lncRNA from 1 species